rnacentral:rRNA from 1 species
UACGUAGGGCGCAAGCGUUAUCCGGAAUUAUUGGGCGUAAAGAGCUCGUAGGCGGCCAGUUGCGUCUGCUGUGAAAUCCCGGGGCUCAACCCCGGGCGUGCAGUGGAUACGGGCUGGCUAGAGGCAGGCAGGGGAGAACGGAAUUCCCGGUGUAGCGGUGAAAUGCGCAGAUAUCAGGAGGAACACCGGUGGCGAAGGCGGGUCUCUGGGCCGUUACUGACGCUGAGGAGCGAAAGCGUGGGGAGCGAACAGG